CCUACGGGUGGCUGCAGUGGGGAAUAUUGGACAAUGGGGGCAACCCUGAUCCAGCCAUGCCGCGUGUGUGAAGAAGGCCCUCGGGUUGUAAAGCACUUUCAGUGAGGAAGAACGCCUGGUGGUUAAUACCCAUCAGGAAAGACAUCACUCACAGAAGAAGCACCGGCUAACUCCGUGCCAGCAGCCGCGGUAAUACGGAGGGUGCGAGCGUUAGUCGGAAUUACUGGGCGUAAAGCGCGCGUAGGUGGCUUGAUAAGCCGGUUGUGAAAGCCCCGGGCUCAACCUGGGAACGGCAUCCGGAACUGUCAAGCUAGAGUGCAGGAGAGGAAGGUAGAAUUCCCGGUGUAGCGGUGAAAUGCGUAGAGAUCGGGAGGAAUACCAGUGGCGAAGGCGGCCUUCUGGACUGACACUGACACUGAGGUGCGAAAGCGUGGGUAGCAAACAGGAUUAGAUACCCUAGUAGUC
rnacentral:rRNA from 1 species